ACGUACAAGCAGUGGGAGCACGCUUAGGCGUGUGACUGCGUACCUUUUGUAUAAUGGGUCAGCGACUUAUAUUCUGUAGCAAGGUUAACCGAAUAGGGGAGCCGAAGGGAAACCGAGUCUUAACUGGGCGUUAAGUUGCAGGGUAUAGACCCGAAACCCGGUGAUCUAGCCAUGGGCAGGUUGAAGGUUGGGUAACACUAACUGGAGGACCGAACCGACUAAUGUUGAAAAAUUAGCGGAUGACUUGUGGCUGGGGGUGAAAGGCCAAUCAAACCGGGAGAUAGCUGGUUCUCCCCGAAAGCUAUUUAGGUAGCGCCUCGUGAAUUCAUCUCCGGGGGUAGAGCACUGUUUCGGCAAGGGGGUCAUCCCGACUUACCAACCCGAUGCAAACUGCGAAUACCGGAGAAUGUUAUCACGGGAGACACACGGCGGGUGCUAACGUCCGUCGUGAAGAGGGAAACAACCCAGACCGCCAGCUAAGGUCCCAAAGUCAUGGUUAAGUGGGAAACGAUGUGGGAAGGCCCAGACAGCCAGGAUGUUGGCUUAGAAGCAGCCAUCAUUUAAAGAAAGCGUAAUAGCUCACUGGUCGAGUCGGCCUGCGCGGAAGAUGUAACGGGGCUAAACCAUGCACCGAAGCUGCGGCAGCGACGCUUAUGCGUUGUUGGGUAGGGGAGCGUUCUGUAAGCCUGCGAAGGUGUGCUGUGAGGCAUGCUGGAGGUAUCAGAAGUGCGAAUGCUGACAUAAGUAACGAUAAAGCGGGUGAAAAGCCCGCUCGCCGGAAGACCAAGGGUUCCUGUCCAACGUUAAUCGGGGCAGGGUGAGUCGACCCCUAAGGCGAGGCCGAAAGGCGUAGUCGAUGGGAAACAGGUUAAUAUUCCUGUACUUGGUGUUACUGCGAAGGGGGGACGGAGAAGGCUAUGUUGGCCGGGCGACGGUUGUCCCGGUUUAAGCGUGUAGGCUGGU
rnacentral:rRNA from 1 species